AGAGUUUGAUCCUGGCUCAGGAUGAACGCUAGCUACAGGCUUAACACAUGCAAGUCGAGGGGCAGCAUGGUCUUAGCUUGCUAAGGCCGAUGGCGACCGGCGCACGGGUGAGUAACACGUAUCCAACCUGCCGUCUACUCUUGGACAGCCUUCUGAAAGGAAGAUUAAUACAAGAUGGCAUCAUGAGUCCGCAUGUUCACAUGAUUAAAGGUAUUCCGGUAGACGAUGGGGAUGCGUUCCAUUAGAUAGUAGGCGGGGUAACGGCCCACCUAGUCUUCGAUGGAUAGGGGUUCUGAGAGGAAGGUCCCCCACAUUGGAACUGAGACACGGUCCAAACUCCUACGGGAGGCAGCAGUGAGGAAUAUUGGUCAAUGGGCGAGAGCCUGAACCAGCCAAGUAGCGUGAAGGAUGACUGCCCUAUGGGUUGUAAACUUCUUUUAUAAAGGAAUAAAGUCGGGUAUGCAUACCCGUUUGCAUGUACUUUAUGAAUAAGGAUCGGCUAACUCCGUGCCAGCAGCCGCGGUAAUACGGAGGAUCCGAGCGUUAUCCGGAUUUAUUGGGUUUAAAGGGAGCGUAGAUGGAUGUUUAAGUCAGUUGUGAAAGUUUGCGGCUCAACCGUAAAAUUGCAGUUGAUACUGGAUAUCUUGAGUGCAGUUGAGGCAGGCGGAAUUCGUGGUGUAGCGGUGAAAUGCUUAGAUAUCACGAAGAACUCCGAUUGCGAAGGCAGCCUGCUAAGCUGCAACUGACAUUGAGGCUCGAAAGUGUGGGUAUCAAACAGGAUUAGAUACCCUGGUAGUCCACACGGUAAACGAUGAAUACUCGCUGUUUGCGAUAUACGGCAAGCGGCCAAGCGAAAGCGUUAAGUAUUCCACCUGGGGAGUACGCCGGCAACGGUGAAACUCAAAGGAAUUGACGGGGGCCCGCACAAGCGGAGGAACAUGUGGUUUAAUUCGAUGAUACGCGAGGAACCUUACCCGGGCUUAAAUUGCAGAUGAAUUACGGUGAAAGCCGUAAGCCGCAAGGCAUCUGUGAAGGUGCUGCAUGGUUGUCGUCAGCUCGUGCCGUGAGGUGUCGGCUUAAGUGCCAUAACGAGCGCAACCCUUGUUGUCAGUUACUAACAGGUUCUGCUGAGGACUCUGACAAGACUGCCAUCGUAAGAUGUGAGGAAGGUGGGGAUGACGUCAAAUCAGCACGGCCCUUACGUCCGGGGCUACACACGUGUUACAAUGGGGGGUACAGAGGGCCGCUACCACGCGAGUGGAUGCCAAUCCCCAAAACCUCUCUCAGUUCGGACUGGAGUCUGCAACCCGACUCCACGAAGCUGGAUUCGCCAGUAAUCGCGCAUCAGCCACGGCGCGGUGAAUACGUUCCCGGGCCUUGCACACACCGCCCGUCA
rnacentral:rRNA from 1 species